CCGGAGCUAAUACCGGAUAAUAUUUUGAACCGCAUGGUUCAAAAGUGAAAGACGGUCUUGCUGUCACUUAUAGAUGGAUCCGCGCUGCAUUAGCUAGUUGGUAAGGUAACGGCUUACCAAGGCAACGAUGCAUAGCCGACCUGAGAGGGUGAUCGGCCACACUGGAACUGAGACACGGCCCAG
rnacentral:rRNA from 1 species